UCUAAACCUUUCUUGCGACGAUAAUUACCGUUUUGGACGGAUACGAACACAAUAUCAUCAUUUGUUGUCAUCAAAAAAGAGUAAAUGAUGUAAUUCAAACGGUUAUACACGGAAAUCGAGGAUUUUUAGUGGUUUCUGUGUCGGUUUUUACCCUUCUGCGCAUUUAAAUGCCGUUUAUGCUUCAAUUUCGACGUUUAUUGGAAAAUUUGUCGUCCAUACCCUAUGAAAUCAUUUGUAAUGUAAGCAAAGGUUUUUGAAACYARAUCAAACCCCCAUUUUCCCCUUUUUUUUUUUUUUUUUUUUUUUCURUUUGUUUAUUUAUUAGUUUUCUUAUAGGAAUAAUAGGAAAAUACUUUAUCUAAAUGAGAUAUAUACAAAUAGAGUGCGAAUG
rnacentral:rRNA from 1 species